GAUGAAGAACGCAGCGAAAUGCGAUAAGUAAUGUGAAUUGCAGAAUUCAGUGAAUCAUCGAAUCUUUGAACGCACAUUGCGCCCGCUAGUAUUCUGGCGGGCAUGCCUGUCUGAGCGUCAUUUCUACCCUCAUGCCCCUAGGGCGUGGUGUUGGGGAUCGGCCAAAGCCCGCGAGGGACGGCCGGCCCCUAAAUCUAGUGGCGGACCCGUCGUGGCCUCCUCUGCGAAGUAGUGAUAUUCCGCAUCGGAGAGCGAUGAGCCCCUGCCGUUAAACCCCCAACUUUCCAAGGUUGACCUCAGAUCAGGUAGGAAUACCCGCUGAACUUAAGCAUAUCAAUAAGCGGAGGA
rnacentral:misc_RNA from 1 species